UACGUAGGGAGCAAGCGUUGUCCGGAAUCAUUGGGCGUAAAGCGCGCGUAGGCGGCCUUGUAAGUCCGUUGUGAAAGUCAAAGGCUCAACCUUUGAAAGCCGAUGGAUACUGUGAGGCUAGAGUCCGGAAGAGGCGAGUGGAAUUCCCGGUGUAGCGGUGAAAUGCGCAGAUAUCGGGAAGAACACCCGUGGCGAAGGCGGCUCUCUGGGACGGUACUGACGCUGAGACGCGAAAGCGUGGGGAGCGAACAGG
rnacentral:rRNA from 1 species